UUCAAUUAUGUGUUUUCACGUGAUUCAGCCCGAAGAUAGAGAGACAGCCGCAAGAUUUUCUAGGGUUUGCUGUUCUUCCGCAAUUAAAACAAUCUUCUCUUUCGAUCUCUGAUACAGCUAUGAGUUUCGAUAUCUUCAAUCCACAUGAGAAUUGCUUUGUGAAUCUUCGACCUGAGGUUAUGUCUUCUUCCUUUCUUUCCUUCCCCUUCUGACCUUCGCCUUCUUCAUGACUGUCCACGUUUGUUUCUAGGGUUCAUCGUCCUCUACAGCAAGCUCUGAUACGGUCAACCAACAAUGGAGGGGAAAAGGUUGUGUGAGAUGAGUGUUAGUGAGGAAUCUCUGCAUCGAUCUCGGUUAAUGUCAGAUUCAUUGCUCAACAUGAAAGUUCAGAUCUUGGAUUGUUCGGGACCAACAACCAGCGUAACUGCUCUGUAUCUAUGGCAGAGAGAUUUUAAUGUUCAACCUCUAAACAUGUUCUUGACUCCUUUAGCCAUCUCUACCUCAAUGUGUGCGUUGUCUUCUGAGAGGCGGUGUAUCUGCGGAUAUAAAAAGGCUGGCAGUUGUUUGUGCGGCUGCUCAGAUUUGUGAAACGAGUGAAACUGAAGCAGAUUGAUCUCUUAGUUCCAGUGACAUAAGAAACUUUCUCCGUGUCAUCAUCUUUACUGCAAGAGGGUGGCGCAUAUCAUAGAUUCAAUCACUAUGCUUACCUUGACAUGUCUUGGUCUCCGUAAGUCACUAAUCUGUAUCUUUUGAAAUGUUAUUAAGUUUUGAAAGUCGAGCUGUUGUAUAACUCCCACAAGCUCAUCAUCUUCCACCAAAUGUUUCUCAACUGUCAACUACUGUAUUAACUCUAAUGAUCUUUUCUAAUCAUAUUCUCUUCCAGUUUCUUCAAUUUAUGGGAUGCAGAUCAUUGUUUACACGUUAGUAUAAACUUUGAAACGUUCUUUAUGCGCUUUCAUAAGUAAGAACUAUCUGAAUCUUUUCCUCUUCAGCAGCCAUGUGAUUUGUGGAUGAAUUUUGGUGACUGUUACAUUCAUCUUGAGCGGAACACUCCUUCUGUUACAAAAUUAUGUCUCAUGACAGUUCAUUAGCUUCUUCUUUCAUUGAAAAAAUUUAAUGUGCUUCUUUGAGCAUUAGUGCAACUACAGACACAUAUGUAGCCCGGAGUGUAUCAGUAGAGAAAACCGCAAGCAACACGGCUCUAGACGAGAUCUUGCCUUGCAUAUACAAUUCUACAGCUCAAGCAAUUUUGAUACGUAGCAAAGAGUUGACGGAUCAGCUCGUGGAGCUCAUUAGUUGUACCAUUGUUCAUGAGAUGGUUAAUUAGGUUGGCUAACAAGAACUGUUACGCCGUUGAUUUGAUGUUGAUCUGUAUAUAACGAUCAUGUAUCACAGUUUCCCUAAAACGUUGGUUGACUAAGGAUGGUGAUUAUUUAUAAUGUACCAAGGUCCAACAUACCAGGAGUUUGUUAAUAUUUGCUUAGGAGAUGGUCUAUGAGAAGUGGCCAGGUCAUGGGGUUGAUGGGGAGAAAUCAGCUGUCCAGGUAUAUAGUCAUGUCCAAGAAUUGGUAAAUCUGCUCCUGUCUAUCAUCAUUGGUGAUGGAGAAAAAUUGAAGCAUCAACACCACUACAAAGGAAGCAGAGUCAGCAGAAGCCGAAGCAAAAGCAGCUCAAGCUUACGCUGAGAAGCUUCAAAGACACUCUGAGAGGACGAAACCUCUGCAAAAUGAUGGUUUGUAUGAGAGGUGACAUAGGAGGAAGAAGAAUGUGUUGCAGGUGAAGAAGAUGAAUGUGUUGGAGGUGAACAGAGAGAGAAGCGUAGAAGUAGUGUCUGUUGUUGAUUCUCUACUUGGAAACUCUUUUUAAUUGUAAACAGUAAUCUCAAAUGCUAACACUCUUUCUAUCUGUAACAAAUAAUUCUUUAGCUGGAGAAUUUUUACAGAUUAAAAAUGUGUUAUAUAUUGUGAAAUUGGAAA